AGAAACGGACAAUUGAGGCAGAACUCACUUCCUGCUUCCAUCUUCACAUGAGAAGCAAAUACAAGUAUUUAUUGGCAGCCAGGCAGAGGUGGUGAAGUUGGAGAAGACACCUAGCGUCAUUCAAAGGUAUGGAGGGAUCCACUCAUAGGAAGAGAGGAGCAAGAAACCAGGACCCUGAUAUCCGUUUAUCAAAACUUUUAUCAUAUGCUCUGCGUCAUGGAGCUGUCACUCUGGGGUUGCCCAUAGGAUCAGAUGGCUUUGUCCCUGUCUCUUCCCUCCUCACCCUGCCCCAGUUCCGCUCCUUUUCUCAGGGUGACAUUGAACGUGUAGUUAGAUGUAAUGACAAGCAGCGCUUUACCCUGAGAAGCUCAACACCUGAGAGCCAGCUGGAAAUACGAGCGAACCAGGGACAUUCAUUGCAGGUGGAGGUUGAUCUCACCCCAGUAGGAACAGAGCUGCCUGCACAAGCCAUACAUGGGACUUAUCUCCGUCACUGGUCUUCAAUUCUUGCCUAUGGCCUCUCUCGUAUGAAGCGGACACACAUCCACCUUUCCACACAGCUUCCAGGAGAGGAGGUUGUUAGCGGCAUGCGCAGGGACUGUGAAGUAGCCAUAUAUAUAGACCUUCCAAAGGCUAUGGCAGAUCAAAUCCCAUUCUUCUGGUCUGCUAACCAUGUCCUCCUCACACCUGGGAACGCAGAUGGUGUCCUUCUCCCUAAAUAUUUCCUGCAAGCACUACAGCUCAGACCGCAAAGCUUAAUUCUCCCAGGAAACGUACAGUGAUGUUGUCCGCCUGUCGGAGAGAGAAAGCCGAUAUAGUUUUCCUCCAAGAGACCCACUUCACCGGUACACACUCUCAACUUUCCGGAAGACUUCUCGCACUUGAAUGAAAGAUGCAAAUAUGAAUUUUCCCUAAAUAAAUUAUUUUUAACAGAU